GGGUCAAGGCUGUGCAUGCUGACUGAGGAGCCGUGGAAGGCCUCUGGCCCCUGGGGGCUGUCUGCUGCCGCCAAGCAGACGUCCAGAGGGAAUGGGCUUCCUUCCAGAGAUUCCAAACUCUGCCUGGCAGGAGGAGGGCAUCCCAUUGUUUCUGGUUUUGCCUUAGAAAUGCAACCGUCCCAGAGGUUAACACCUGGCCCUCAGAGUCCAGUAUGCAUUCUUUUUUUUUUUUUUUUUUGCCAAAUUUUAAAUGUAGGUGCUACAAUUUAUUAUUUUUUUAAAGACCAUGGGAAACUGCAGGCGGUGUAAAAGGAAACAGGAAGGCCCCGUGGAGCCUAGCAGGCGCUUGGAAGUUCUGCAUUCUGGUCAGUUUUCACUUGGAGUAAGUGGUGUCUGACACUCUAGGAGACCAAAGCUGUGCCCCUUCAUCACAGGACCCCGACAGUCUCUUGUAUGGGAACCAACUGGUGAUAGAAAGGCUGUUGCUGACCAGUAUCUGCGUGGACACGAAAUAAAUGCAAACUCAACAGCUUCCCCCUAGAGCCUGAUGCAAGAGGACGUUUCCCCCUCGGGAAUCUGAGGCCUGGAGGACACUGAGGGCGGGGCGACUAUCCAACAAGGCCUAGCGGGCGGUGGGCUUGAUGAGCAGGGCCCACCACUGCUCAGCAGUGCGGCCUCGAGGCACACGCAGCUGUUGAGGGCAGCUUGACCAUCGGAGUGGACACUGUGAUGUUACACAUCCACGUGGCGUUUGCCCAGCAGCAGUAAGUGGGUGAAUUAAGCGGUUUCUGAGUUGAGAGCAGGAGGACUCUGGGGUGCGGUCCCUGUCAGGCUUUGCAAGGCCAGCUCUAGCCCUAAGUGUUAUUCAGUGGUAGCCUAGCAACCUUGGCAAAGGCUCCUCCUCCCAUCUUUCCAUGAUCAGGCAGACAAGCGGAAUCAAAAGUUAAGCGUGCAAUACCUGCUCAUGUACAUCAUGAAGGCGGACCUGAGGAGGGAAUGAAUCUCUUUUCUCUUAAACGCACAGGUGCGCGUUGCUGUUCUCCUUUAUGUUCUAAGCAUGAGCACCUGUCUGAGCCUGCUGUGCUGGCACCUGGCCUCCUCACGAGAGAUCUUUGAAGAAUACGCAUUUCAGCAUUGGUUACUUUUACUCCAACUUUCUUGUCCAUAAACAUGUGAAAACUAAAAGAAAAGAGAUGAGAUCUGACAAAAAUAGUACAAACUUCAAAAUAAUGCAGUUUUUAAAGGCAAACAUAGGAAAGCCUUUUGUGUUAUUUUUCUCCUGGACUUUGCCAUUGUCUGGAACAGGAAAACAGGAAAGCAAUGCUUUCUAGCAGCUGCAAAUCAUGUAAUGGCUCUACAUAUUUCCAUCACCUUAAACAAUAGGUCCAGUGUGGGAACCUGAGAUAUGAGCCCUGAGCACAUCUGUUUCUGUCAGGCCGCAAAACCCACUGCUUAGAUCUGUGUGGUUCGUGGAAUGAACAACAACAAAAAACCCAAAAAGACAAUAAUCAAAAUUCCCUACCUCCCGAUUUUGGGAACUAAUAUUAACUGAUGUGCUUUAAAAAAAAAUUGUGCUUUGGUCUGUUCUUAGAGUUAAUGCCCAUUUAUUUUAAGAAGCAACUCUAGAAUUUCUUUCUUGAAUAGUUUCUUUUAUCUGCAAAGUGGCAAGGGUUUCCUCCCCUCCCCACAACAGAUUUUGUGCUCUGCUCCCCUGGGCUGAAGUUCUUUUUGCAUAUUUUGCUUAAGCUUGAACUGGAUUGUAUGCUAGGUCUGGUUCUGUUAUGGUAGGUGUGAUUGUAAAUGGCUAGUCACUUCAUGAAUGUUAAGUGAGAAUGUAAGUAGUUUUAAAUACGUGUAUUUAAACUGUGUUCCACUAAUUCUGGAAUCAUGGGCUUUCAAUGCGGGGUUUAUUUUCAUCCCAGGCAUGAGUGCUUCACAGGUUGCAGGGAGGGCAUGCUUGAAUGGGGCACUGAUCCUCAGAACUCUGAGGAACUGAGCGGCAUCUUGGGUCAGCCUCAAAUGGCAGGUUUGUUGUCUUUUGCACUUUGUAUUACACAACUAUUCUAAUAAAGCCUGAAAUAUGUUUGUUGUCAA